UAGGCGACAGAGCAAGAUUCCAUCUCAAAAAAAAAAAAAAAGAAAAAGGGGGAACUUAAUUCUUCAAGAGGUCAUAAUAAACCUAAGUAUUUAUCGUCUAUUUAAAAACAGAGCUUCAAAAUACAUGAAGCAAAAAUAGACAGAACUGAAAGGAGAAAAAGAUAAACCCACACAACGCUCCUUCACAAUAAUCAAUAGAAUAGAAAAAUCAGUAAGUAUAGAGAAGAUGUGAACAACAAGAUGUGAUCAAACAGCGUGACCUGUUUGACAAUUAUAGUACUUUCCACCCAAAAAUAUCAAAACACAUAUUCUUUUGAAGGGCUCUUAGAAUAUUUACUAAUAAAGACCAUCUGCUUGGCCAUAAAACAAGUCUCAUAAAGUCAGAAUAAUUUUAAGUCUUACCAAACAUGUUAUUUAACCACAAUGGAAUUUAAUUAAAAACUUAUAGCAUGGAAAUUUAGAAGAUAUAACUACAAUAGCAUGAAGGACAGGAGGGAGGAAACUGACAUACAUUGUUGUUAGAUUCUUACACUAUUCAUAGAUUGGUAUGACUUUAUUUCAAGGUAGACUGCAGUAAGUUAAAGAUGUAUAUUGUAAAUCAUAGAGCAACCACUAAAACACACACACGCACACACAAAGAUAUAGCUAAUAAGCCAACAGUGAAGAUAAAAAGGAAUAAUCGUAAAUACUGAAUUAAUCCAAACCAAGGAAAUAAAUAAGGAAGAAGGAGACAAAAAGCAAAUAAGAUGUUAGUUUUAGUUCUUAUGUUAAUCUAGAAAUAAUUUUACAGAUAAGGAAAUUGAGACUGACAGUGCUUUAAAAUAACUUUCCCAAGAUGACACACCCAAGAGGUACUGGGGCUGGAAGUUGAAUUCAGGUUCCAUAUUCCAUAUGCCUUCCGAGUCUAUGAACUUUAUUUAAGGCUAUGAACCUAUUUAAGGUAAUGUACUCUGUGUGUGUGUGUGUGUGUGUGUGUGUGUGUGUGUGUGCGGCAGUGCGCAUGCGUGUGCAAGCUAAACAUGUCUAUCAACUGUGCAUAUGAUUCACACUUAAAUUUCUAUGUGCAGGUGUAACUAAAAUAUAUUCUCACUUUUCAAAUUACAUUGAAGCUACAUGGGAAUUAUUUUUUAAGUGUUUUCCCAUCUCUCUUCACUCUCCUUCACAGGCCAGGAUAUGCCUAAUUCUCUACAAAUGAGGGAGAAGAAUGAGAUGGUGUUAGAAACCAGAAAGCCUGCUGUACAGCAUUGUCUUCCUGCAAUUGACAGCUGCAGCAGCCUGUCAAUUUCCACAAACCUCUUCAAACCUUAACUUCUUGCUUGUGCUUAUAAUCUUUGUACACACACAUAUAUAGGCAAAGUACACUAUGAAAAUGUAAAAAAAAUAUUUUGGAGCCCCAUGCAAAUAUGCCAGGUAUUGUGCCAGGCAAAAGAUGUAAGAAAGUAAAGAAUUAAUUAUGUCCCCUGAUAUUGUACCACUUAAAAUCUCAUGGGGGAUACACACUUGAUAUAAAGAAUCAUACAAAUAUAAAAUUACAUUGUCAUAUAAGUGCUAUGAAUAAAACAAUACCAUGACAUAACAGGAUAACCUAUUGGAACAAUUUGAAGAUAAAUACAAACCUCCCCUGCCCCCAUACACACACUUAAGAAAAUUGGUAUCAUGAUUAUGUUGCUUAUUUUCCUUUUAAAUUUCCAGAAUGUUCUUGCGGCUAUUCAUUGUUAUCCACAUAUUCAAUGGGAAUAGCUGUUUUCUUAUUUCACCAAGCAUAUUGAAGACUUUAAAACUAUCACAGAGCCACCGGGCCAGAAGCUGACGGUCUGUGAUCUACUUUGAGCUAAUUUUCAUGAAGGAUAUAAGGGGCUGUUUCCAAUUCUUCCCACCCGGAGACUGCUGGUCUGAAGCUCGACUGCAUCUGAUGUAAAAGCUCCUGUGAGUUAACAGACAUUUGUUCAGACCCUGCUCUGCUCAAAGGCUCCCAGUGAGGACCCCAAGGAGGGAAGGAUCAGGUGUCCUGGACUUCAUAUGUCCUCACCUCUCGCAAGUUCCCAGCUUUUGCUUAUCCACGGGACUCUUAUCUUCAUUACAACGAAGGGCCAGAACCCAGGUGGGAAAAAGACAGCAUGGUUGAGAAGAUAGAUUCCAGAUAGAUAAAACGCAGGGAUGUUUCUUAAACAUUAGGACCAAUGAUUAGAGACACUGAAACCGUAUCUCUACAGAGCAUUAGGACUGAAUCAGAACCAAGAGAUGGCCACAUCUAAUAGCUGGCUUCAGUUAAUAGAGACACUGGUUCACUGGCACGUAUUUUUCUCUUGUUUUAUGUCUGACUCUGCUUAAAAAAAAAUUUUUUUUUUUAGAGAUUGAGUCUCAUUGUGUUAUCCAGGGCAAUCUCAAACUCCUGGCUUCAAGCAAUCCUACCAGCUCAACCUCACUGGGAUUAUAGGCAUGAGUCACCAUAGCCGACCCGAUUCACCUUCCUGAAUACAGCUUUAUAUGGGGGAACAAGUUGCCCAGUGAAGCUUGGGAUUUUCUCAUAAUUAACAGCUCUUGCCAUUUCUCUUCAAAUAGUUGCCAAGCCAUUGGCUGUAUUACUUUGGUUCUUAGGCCAUGGUGCCUGAUAACAAUGCCAGGCAUAUCAGGCUCCUGAUAUAUUGUAUGAAUGUAUAAUAAAUUUAGAAGUGAUUAUAUACUAUAUUCAGUUCCUUCAUUAUGUAAACCGUGCACUGAGCAGCACUCUCUAAAAUUGCCUACAUAAUAUUUUGACUAUUCUGGACUUUUCAUAUAAAUGGAAUCAUACAA